rnacentral:rRNA from 1 species
AUAUCAGUCAUGCAUAGCAUAUCAAUAAGCGGAGGAAAAGAAACUAACAAGGAUUCCCCUAGUAACGGCGAGUGAAGCGGGAAGAGCUCAAACUUGAAAUCUUCAAGGUUCUACCUUGACGAAUUGUAGUUUAUAGAAGUGUUUUCUGUUAGUGGAGUGGCAAAAGUUCUUUGGAAUAGGACAUCAUAGAGGGUGAGAAUCCCGUAUUUGGUCAUUCCUCCUAGCGUUGUGAUACACUUUCAACGAGUCGGAUUGUUUGGGAAUGCAGUCCAAAAUGGGUGGUAAAUUUCAUCUAAAGCUAAAUAUUGGCGAGAGACCGAUAGCGAACAAGUACCGUGAGGGAAAGAUGAAAAGAACUUUGAAAAGAGAGUUAAACAGUACGUGAAAUUGUCAAAAGGGAAGCGCUUGACACCAGUGUUGUUUAGUUGAAAAUCAAUUCAAUAAUUUGUGAUUUUGAGUAGUAUUGACUUUCAUCAGCUUGCUGCUUUCUUUUCAGAAAUUAUUGAAUGCACUUUUCAGUUAACAAGUCAACAUCAAUUUCUUUUGUUGUAAAAGGGUAAGAGGAAGGUGGCUUACGCUUCGGCGUCAAGUGUUUAUAGCCUUUUACCUCUGCAAUCGGAGAGAUUGAGGACAUGCAGCGUAGACUCCUUCGGGGGUUAGAUACACUUUGUGCUAAGUUAUAGCCUCGUAUAGACAACUUGUUGACUAUAGCUCAGUCAUGUAGCUUACUCGCAUAUAGUCAUUUUACCUACGCUUAGGAUGUUGAUGUGAUACUGCGAGCA